UGCCGAAGAAUCUUUUCUCGUGAUGUGUACCAAUAAGCUAGAUAUGUAACAUAUAUUUCAACGUUAAUUCUUUAGUAAAAUGAAAGCAAAAUUCCUCCGACUAAUCAAUUAGUAUUUCUUUCAUGAAAGCAUUUUCGAUUUUGUUAAAUAUGACGAUAGGUUUGUAAAGUGUUUCCUUGAAUUGGGGUAACUGGAACAGUUUAGUACAUUCAUCAUUUGAAAGCCACUCAUUCUAUACGAGUUCAAUAUAUUUAAUAGUUGUCUGUCAUAAUAAAUAGUGUGAUGUAAGUGUUGAGGGUUUAUAUUUACGUUUGCCUUUCUCUAGAAACUCGUUCUGAAGUGGAGUCUACAGUUGAUGUUGUGCAACAGGACGAGCGUCCUAAAGAACAACCAUCUGAGGCCGAAGCCACAGUUG